rnacentral:rRNA from 1 species
CCUACGGGGGGCAGCAGUGAGGAAUAUUGGUCAAUGGACGAGAGUCUGAACCAGCCAAGUAGCGUGAGGGAUGACUGCCCUAUGGGUUGUAAACUUCUUUUAUCUGGGAAUAAAAUGUUCCACGUGUGGGCUUUUGUAUGUACCAUAUGAAUAAGCAUCGGCUAACUCCGUGCCAGCAGCCGCGGUAAUACGGAGGAUCCGAGCGUUAUCCGGAUUUAUUGGGUUUAAAGGGAGCGUAGGUGGAUUGUUAAGUCAGUUGUGAAAGUUUGCGGCUCAACCGUAAAAUUGCAGUUGAAACUGGCAGUCUUGAGUACAGUAGAGGUGGGCGGAAUUCGUGGUGUAGCGGUGAAAUGCUUAGAUAUCACGAAGAACUCCGAUUGCGAAGGCAGCUCACUGGACUGCAACUGACACUGAGGCUCGAAAGUGUGGGUAUCAAACAGGAUUAGAUACCCCUGUAGUC